UACGGAGGGUGCGAGCGUUGUCCGGAAUUACUGGGCGUAAAGCGUGCGCAGGCGGUGAUGUAAGACAGAUGUGAAAUCCCCGGGCUCAACCUGGGAACUGCAUUUGUGACUGCAUCGCUGGAGUGCGGCAGAGGGGGAUGGAAUUCCGCGUGUAGCAGUGAAAUGCGUAGAUAUGCGGAGGAACACCGAUGGCGAAGGCAAUCCCCUGGGCCUGCACUGACGCUCAUGCACGAAAGCGUGGGGAGCAAACAGG
rnacentral:rRNA from 1 species